rnacentral:rRNA from 1 species
UACGUAGGGGGCAAGCGUUGUCCGGAUUUAUUGGGCGUAAAGCGCGUGUAGGCGGCCAGGUAGGUCCGCUGUGAAAACUCGAGGCUCAACCUCGAGACGUCGGCGGAAACCAUCUGGCUAGAGUCCGGAAGAGGAGAGUGGAAUUCCUGGUGUAGCGGUGAAAUGCGUAGAGAUCGGGAAGAACAUCGGUGGCGAAAGCGCUCUACUGGACCGCAACUGACACUCAGGGACGAAAGCUAGGGGAGCGAAUGGG